UACGUAGGGUGCGAGCGUUAAUCGGAAUUACUGGGCGUAAAGCGUGCGCAGGCGGUUCGUUGUGUCGGCGGUGAAAGCCCCGGGCUUAACCUGGGAAUGGCCGUUGAAACUGGCGAACUGGAGUGUGGCAGAGGGGGUGGAAUUCCGGCGUGUAGCAGUGAAAUGCGUAGAGAUGCGGAGGAACACCGAUGGCGAAGGCAGCCCCUGGGCUAACACUGACGCUCAGGCACGAAAGCGUGGGGAGCAAACAGG
rnacentral:rRNA from 1 species